ensembl:snRNA U7 U7 small nuclear RNA
UAAUGUUACAGCUCUUUUAGAAUUUGUCUAGCAGGCUUUCCGGUUUUUGCGGGAAAAUCCUCC